rnacentral:tRNA from 1 species
GGGAAUGUGACUUAAUGGUAGAGUGUUUGUCUAGCAUGCAUGAAGCCCUAGGUUCGAUUCCUCAGUACCA